CCCUUAGAUGUCCUGGGCUGCACGCGCGCUACACUGAUGUGUCCAGUAAGCACCUAACCUCUUCCGAAAGGAACGGGUAACCUUUGCAAAGCACAUCGUGAUGGGGAUAGAUUAUUGCAAUUAUUAGUCUUGGACGAGGAAUUCCUAGUAAGCACAAGUCAUCAGCUUGUGUUGAUUACGUCCCUGCCCUUUGUACACACCGCCCGUCGCUCCUACCGAUUGAAUGUUCCGGUGAGCUCUUCGGACUGCGCGGUCUGCAGUUUCUGCGUUCCGUGCGGAAAGUUGCGCAAACCUUAACAUUUAGAGGAAGGAGAAGUCGUAACA
rnacentral:rRNA from 1 species